UACGUAGGGUGCAAGCGUUGUCCGGAAUUAUUGGGCGUAAAGAGCGUGUAGGCGGCCCGAUUAGUCCGCUGUGAAAAGUCCAGGGCUCAACCCUGGAAUGCCGGUGGAUACUGUCGGGCUAGAGUCCGGAAGGGGCGAGUGGAAUUCCCGGUGUAGCGGUGAAAUGCGCAGAUAUCGGGAAGAACACCCGUGGCGAAAGGCGGCCUCUCUGGGGGACGGUACUGACGCUGAGACGCGAAAGCGUGGGGGGAGCGAAACCAGGG
rnacentral:rRNA from 1 species